UACGUAGGUGGCAAGCGUUGUCCGGAUUUACUGGGCGUAAAGAGCGCGCAGGCGGUCGGAUAAGUCGAAUGUGAAAGCCCCCGGCUCAACUGGGGAGGGUCAUUCGAUACUGUUCGACUCGAAGGCAGGAGAGGGAAGUGGAAUUCCCGGUGUAGUGGUGAAAUGCGUAGAUAUCGGGAGGAACACCCGUGGCGAAGGCGGCUCUCUGGGACGGUACUGACGCUGAGACGCGAAAGCGUGGGGAGCGAACAGG
rnacentral:rRNA from 1 species